AUUGAACGCUGGCGGCAGGCCUAACACAUGCAAGUCGAGCGGAUGAAGGGAGCUUGCUCCUGGAUUCAGCGGCGGACGGGUGAGUAAUGCCUAGGAAUCUGCCUGGUAGUGGGGGAUAACGUCCGGAAACGGGCGCUAAUACCGCAUACGUCCUGAGGGAGAAAGUGGGGGAUCUUCGGACCUCACGCUAUCAGAUGAGCCUAGGUCGGAUUAGCUAGUUGGUGGGGUAAAGGCCUACCAAGGCGACGAUCCGUAACUGGUCUGAGAGGAUGAUCAGUCACACUGGAACUGAGACACGGUCCAGACUCCUACGGGAGGCAGCAGUGGGGAAUAUUGGACAAUGGGCGAAAGCCUGAUCCAGCCAUGCCGCGUGUGUGAAGAAGGUCUUCGGAUUGUAAAGCACUUUAAGUUGGGAGGAAGGGCAGUAAGGUAAUACCUUGCUGUUUUGACGUUACCAACAGAAUAAGCACCGGCUAACUUCGUG
rnacentral:rRNA from 1 species